rnacentral:rRNA from 1 species
UACGGAGGGAGCAAGCGUUACUCGGAAUUACUGGGCGUAAAGGGCGCGUAGGCGAUUUUGUAAGUCUUGUGUGAAAGCCCAAAGCCUAACUUUGGAAGUGCACAAGAAACUGCGAGAAUUGAGUUCCGGAGAGGAAGAUGGAAUUCCCGGUGUAGCGGUGAAAUGCGUAGAUAUCAGGAAGAACACCAAUGGCGAAAGCAGCUCUCUGGGACGGUACUGACGCUGAGGCGCGAAAGCGUGGGGAGCAAACAGG